GAGUUUGAUCAUGGCUCAGGAUGAACGCCGGCGGUGUGCCUAAUACAUGCAAGUCGUACGCACUGGCCCAACUGAUUGAUGGUGCUUGCACCUGAUCGACGAUGGAUCACCAGUGAGUGGCGGACGGGUGAGUAACACGUAGGUAACCUGCCCUGUACGGGGGAUAACAAUCAGAAAUGACUGCUAAUACCGCAUAAGACCACAGCACCGCAUGGUGCAGGGGUAAAAACUCCGGUGGUACAGGAUGGACCCGCGUCUGAUUAGCUGGUUGGUGAGGUAACGGCUCACCAAGGCGACGAUCAGUAGCCGGCUUGAGAGAGUGAACGGCCACAUUGGGACUGAGACACGGCCCAAAACUCCUACGGGAGGCAGCAGUGGGGAAUAUUGCACAAUGGGGAAACCCUGAUGCAGCAACGCCGCGUGAGUGAAGAAGUAUUUCGGUAUGUAAAGCUCUAUCAGCAGGGAAGAAAGUGACGGUACCUGACUAAGAAGCCCGGCUAACUACG
rnacentral:rRNA from 1 species